GUGACUAGUGACAGAGUGAGAGAGAGGGUGACUAGUGACAGAGUGAGGGAGGGGGUGACUAGUGACAGAGUGAAGGAGGUGGUGACUGUCACUAGUCACCCCCUCCCCUCCCUCACUCUGUCACUAGUCACCCCCUCCCUCACUCUGUCACUAGUCACACCCUUCGUGUCACUAGUCACCCCCUCCCUCUCUCUGUCACUAGUCACCCCCUCCCUCACUCUGUCACUAGUCAC